rnacentral:lncRNA from 1 species
GGGGGGAUCCGAACCUCUGACCUCUCGGCCGAAAAUGUAUGCUUGUUAACGAUUUCAUGUGUUAAGUAUCUUCCUAGACAAUCACCUUUGGUCACAUCACAUUGGAAUAUAAACCGAAUUCAUGGUGAAGAACCCAAAAUCAAACUAGCAUGUUAAAAUUUAAAACCCUAUAGAUUAUGAAAACUUCACCUAUGCCAUACUAUUUGUACA